GUGCUCGCUUCAGCAGCACAUAUACUAAAACUGGAACGAUUACAGAUACAGAGAAGAUUAGCAUGGCCCCUGCACAAAGAUGACUCACAAAUUUGUGAAGUGUUUCAUAUUUUG
ensembl:snRNA U6 U6 spliceosomal RNA